rnacentral:rRNA from 1 species
UAGCAUAAUAAUUAGUUUUUUAAUUAAGAACUGGAAUGAAAGGUCCUACGAGAAAAAAACUGUCUCAAUUUAAUUUUAUUAGAAUUUUAUUUUUAAGUAAAAAAGCUUAAAUAAAUUUAAAAGACGAGAAGACCCUAUAGAGUUUUAUAUUUAAUAUUUAUAGUGAAAUUAAAGUAUUGUUUAAUUAGUAUAAAUAAAAUAAAUAUUUGAUUGGGGUGAUUAAAAAAUUAAUAUAACUUUUUUUUGUUUAAAUCAUUGAUUUAUGAAUAAUUGAGCCAUUUAUAUAUGAUUAAAAGAUUAAAUUACCUUAGGGAUAACAGCGUAAUUUUUUUUGAGAGUU